AAAAGCUUUCUUUAAUUGAAUAAUUGAAUUUAAUUUUUUAGUGCAAAAGCAAAAAUAAAAAUUAGGGACAAGAAGACCCUAUGAAUUUUUUAUUAAAUUUUAAAAAAAGUUUUAUAAAAUUUAAUUUAAUUGGGGUGAUGGAAAAAGAAUAAAUAUCUUUUUUUUAAAGAAAAUUGGUUCCGUUUUUAGCGAUUAAAUGAAAAAAAUACUCUAGGGAUAACAGCGUAAUAAUUUUGGAUAGUUCAUAUAGAUAAAAUAGUUUGCGACCUCGAUGU
rnacentral:rRNA from 1 species